rnacentral:rRNA from 1 species
UGGCGGCAGGCCUAACACAUGCAAGUCGAGCGGAUGACGGGAGCUUGCUCCUUGAUUCAGCGGCGGACGGGUGAGUAAUGCCUAGGAAUCUGCCUGGUAGUGGGGGACAACGUUUCGAAAGGAACGCUAAUACCGCAUACGUCCUACGGGAGAAAGCAGGGGACCUUCGGGCCUUGCGCUAUCAGAUGAGCCUAGGUCGGAUUAGCUAGUUGGUGGGGUAAUGGCUCACCAAGGCGACGAUCCGUAACUGGUCUGAGAGGAUGAUCAGUCACACUGGAACUGAGACACGGUCCAGACUCCUACGGGAGGCAGCAGUGGGGAAUAUUGGACAAUGGGCGAAAGCCUGAUCCAGCCAUGCCGCGUGUGUGAAGAAGGUCUUCGGAUUGUAAAGCACUUUAAGUUGGGAGGAAGGGCAGUAAGCUAAUACCUUGCUGUUUUGACGUUACCGACAGAAUAAGCACCGGCUAACUCUGUGCCAGCAGCCGCGGUAAUACAGAGGGUGCAAGCGUUAAUCGGAAUUACUGGGCGUAAAGCGCGCGUAGGUGGUUUGUUAAGUUGGAUGUGAAAGCCCCGGGCUCAACCUGGGAACUGCAUCCAAAACUGGCAAGCUAGAGUAC